rnacentral:rRNA from 1 species
GUAGGCGGUUUGUCGCGUCUGCUGUGAAAGGCCGGGGCUUAACCCCGUGUAUUGCAGUGGGUACGGGCAGACUAGAGUGCAGUAGGGGAGACUGGAAUUCCUGGUGUAGCGGUGGAAUGCGCAGAUAUCAGGAGGAACACCGAUGGCGAAGGCAGGUCUCUGGGCUGUAACUGACGCUGAGAAGCGAAAGCAUGGGGAGCGAACAGGAUUAGAUACCCUGGUAGUCCAUGCCGUAAACGUUGGGCACUAGGUGUGGGGGACAUUCCACGUUUUCCGCGCCGUAGCUAACGCAUUAAGUGCCCCGCCUGGGGAGUACGGCCGCAAGGCUAAAACUCAAAGAAAUUGACGGGGGCCCGCACAAGCGGCGGAGCAUGCGGAUUAAUUCGAUGCAACGCGAAGAACCUUACCAAGGCUUGACAUAUACUGGACCGCAUCAGAGAUGGUGUUUCCCUUCGGGGCUGGUAUACAGGUGGUGCAUGGUUGUCGUCAGCUCGUGUCGUGAG